UGGGGAAUAUUGGACAAUGGGCGAAAGCCUGAUCCAGCCAUGCCGCGUGUGUGAAGAAGGUCUUCGGAUUGUAAAGCACUUUAAGUUGGGAGGAAGGGCAGUAAGCGAAUACCUUGCUGUUUUGACGUUACCGACAGAAUAAGCACCGGCUAACUCUGUGCCAGCAGCCGCGGUAAUACAGAGGGUGCAAGCGUUAAUCGGAAUUACUGGGCGUAAAGCGCGCGUAGGUGGUUCGUUAAGUUGAAUGUGAAAGCCCCGGGCUCAACCUGGGAACUGCAUCCAAAACUGGCGAGCUAGAGUAGGGCAGAGGGUGGUGGAAUUUCCUGUGUAGCGGUGAAAUGCGUAGAUAUAGGAAGGAACACCAGUGGCGAAGGCGACCACCUGGGCUCAUACUGACACUGAGGUGCGAAAGCGUGGGGAGCGAACAGG
rnacentral:rRNA from 1 species